rnacentral:rRNA from 1 species
UACAGAGGGUGCAAGCGUUGUUCGGAGUUAUUGGGCGUAAAGCGCGUGUAGGCGGCCUUGCAAGUCGGGUGUGAAAGCCCUCAGCUCAACCGAGGAAGCGCGCCCGAAACUGCAGAGCUUGAGUACCGGAGAGGAUGGCGGAAUUCCCCAAGUAGAGGUGAAAUUCGUAGAUAUGGGGAGGAACACCGGUGGCGAAGGCGGCCAUCUGGACGGAUACUGACGCUGAGACGCGAAAGCGUGGGGAGCAAACAGG